rnacentral:sRNA from 1 species
AGCUUGUGAGGAGAUAAUUUCAAGGUAAUGGAACGAUUGCCCUUGACCGACACAGCCGGUCGCGGUCAUUCCGUGGAUUCGGCACUGUAAAAAACGGGCAGCCCGAUCCUCCCUUUACAUUAUGUGUGUCUCCCGCCCCAGCCCUUGGUUCUAGAAUUGAUUUUCUUAGUGCUGGAACAAGUUUUGUAACAUGUACAUGUACAUACAUGUAUAUCUACUUUAAAAACCUGCGUUCGUGUUGGGCAAUUCGCAUGUGUCAGUGACUGAGUGGAAAUCGAUUGCCAAUGAACUUACAAAAUUCGUCGACAUUAAUUGAUUUUGAGGCAGCCUUGAAUAGAAUGG